rnacentral:rRNA from 1 species
UACGUAGGGGGCAAGCGUUGUCCGGAUUUAUUGGGCGUAAAGAGCGUGUAGGCGGCUAUACAGGUCCGCUGUGAAAACUCGAGGCUCAACCUCGAGACGUCGGUGGAAACCGUAUGGCUAGAGUCCGGAAGAGGAGAGUGGAAUUCCUGGUGUAGCGGUGAAAUGCGCAGAUAUCAGGAGGAACACCGAUGGCGAAGGCAGGUCUCUGGGCCACUACUGACGCUGAGAAGCGAAAGCAUGGGGAGCAAACAGG